CCCUUAGAUGUUCUGGGCAGCACGCGCGCUACAAUGGUCUUCGCAAACGGAUGCAUUCUCGAAGGAGAAUGCCAAUCUUGGAAUCUAUGCCUUGGUCGGGACAGUUGCUUGCAAUUUUUCGACUCGAACCAGGAAUUCCUUGUAAUCGUGAUUCAUCACAUCACGAUGAAUACGUCCCUGCCCUUUGUACACACCGCCCGUCGCUCCUACCGAUCGAAGAGUUAGGUGAAUUGUUUUGAUCGAUAAGAUUUGACUAUGGUCAACUCUCGUUGUGAAAUUCUGUGAAUCUGACUGUUUAGAGGAAGGAAAAGUCGAAACA
rnacentral:rRNA from 1 species